AGACUGACCAGCCUCCGAUCUUCCGUUCCUAAACCGAAAGGCAUGGAAUCGAGGACGAGUCCGGCGUGAGCCGGACGACGGGGCCCGUACCGAAAGGGGCCGGCCUCCCGCGCAAUGGAAAGGAGAGAGAGAUGAUCGCGC
rnacentral:ncRNA from 2 species